GGGGGAGUAGCUCAGAUGGUUAGAGCGCUUGCUUGACAUGCAAGAGGUCCCGGGUUCAAGUCCCGUCUCCCCCACCA
rnacentral:tRNA from 2 species